UUGCUCGCUUCGGCAGCAUGUAUACUAAAAUCAGAACAAUGCAGAGAUUAGCAUGGCCCCGGCCCAAGGAUGACAUGCAAAUUCAUGAAGCAUUCCACAUUUUU
rnacentral:snRNA from 1 species